GACGAACGCUGGCGGCGUGCUUAACACAUGCAAGUCGAGCGGUAAGGCCCUUCGGGUACACGAGCGGCGAACGGGUGAGUAACACGUGGGUGACCUGCCUCUAGCUCUGGGAUAAGCCUGGGAAACUGGGUCUAAUACCGGAUAUGACUCCACGGCGCAUGUUGUGGGGUGGAAAGCCUUGUGUGGCUAGAGAUGGGCCCGCGGCCUAUCAGCUUGUUGGUGGGGUNAUGGCCACCAAGGCGACGACGGGUAGCCGGCCUGAGAGGGCGACCGGCCGACACUGGGACUGAGACACGGCCCAGACUCCUACGGGAGGCAGCAGUGGGGAAUCUUGCGCAAUGGGCGAAAGCCUG
rnacentral:rRNA from 1 species